rnacentral:lncRNA from 1 species
AACACCUGCAUCAGUUAUACUGAUUAACCUUAAUGGCAUGGGUCAACUCGAAUCAUUUAAUGACCUAAUCUUAAUGUAAUCUAUCUAAUUGGUCAGGUAAGUAAGAUCGAUGGGAGGAUAGCCAAUGCUUGCCUUGGACAUCAUAUAACCCAGAUAAGCACGCCCCUAAUUAAAAACCAUCGAUCAUACUAUCGAACUUAUCUUAAAUACCAAUUGAUCGAUUAGUUUCGAUUAAAUCAGCCAA